GAUGAACGCUGGCGGCGUGCCUAAUACAUGCAAGUCGAGCGAACGGACGAGAAGCUUGCUUCUCUGAUGUUAGCGGCGGACGGGUGAGUAACACGUGGAUAACCUACCUAUAAGACUGGGAUAACUUCGGGAAACCGGAUCUAAUACCGGAUGAUAUUUUGAACCGCAUGGUUCAAAAGUGAAAGACGGUCUUGCUGUCACUUAUAGAUGGAUCCGCGCUGCAUUAGCUAGUUGGUAAGGUAACGGCUUACCAAGGCAACGAUGCAUAGCCGACCUGAGAGGGUGAUCGGCCACACUGGAACUGAGACACGGUCCAGACUCCUACGGGAGGCAGCAGUAGGGAAUCUUCCGCAAUGGGCGAAAGCCUGACGGAGCAACGCCGCGUGAGUGAUGAAGGUCUUCGGAUCGUAAAACUCCGUUAUUAGGGAAGAACAUAUGUGUAAGUAACUGUGCACAUCUUGGCGGUACCUAAUCAGAAAGCCACGGCUAACUACGUG
rnacentral:rRNA from 1 species